rnacentral:rRNA from 1 species
GACGUAGGAGGCGAGCGUUAUCCGGAUUCACUGGGUGUAAAGCGCAUGUAGGCGGUUGCACAAGUCCGUUGUUAAAGCCCCUGGCUCAACUGGGGGAGGUCAAUGGAGACUGUGCGACUUGAGGGCAGUAGAGGCACGUGGAACUCCCGGUGUAGCGGUGGAAUGCGUAGAGAUCGGGAAGAACACCAGUGGCGAAGGCGACGUGCUGGGCUGCAACUGACGCUGAGAUGCGAAAGUGUGGGGAGCAAACGGG